AUGCCCUCCAACGCCGGUGACGCCCGCCGCAACACCCAGCUGGGAAACAGCGACGCCGCGGAUCUCGUGCGCCUUCCCCGUAUCGGGCGCUGCGAGGCCGGCUUCGACGCGGCCGCGCGCGAGGAGAAGGCCGCUGCUGACCGGGUCGAGCCUGAAGGUACCUCGCUCGGCCGCCUGAGGCCGAAGGACGUCGACGAUGCAGAGGGUUCUGCACGCCGGACAAUCACGGAACUCACCGAAGUUGUCGCGCUGCAGUCGGCAUCGGAUGGAUGCGUGGAGGAAGAGGUUCCGAUCAACAAGAGGAAAUCCGAUUUGGUGGAAGGAAUCCAUGUUAGCGACGGUGAAACUGUCGUCGCAGCACCACCGGCCAAGAUCUGGAGGACUAGCCACAAGACGAAAGUGGCCACAGGAGGCAGCCGCGGUCGCGGCCGUGGUCCUCGUCGUGGUCGUGGACGCGGACGCGGACGAAGCUCUACAGUGAGUCCGCGCAGGAUUCUUCGUCCUCACAAGGCAACAGGUGCUGGCUGA
rnacentral:rRNA from 1 species